AGCUGCUAAUACGAGUGGACGUGCUUUCAAUAUAUCAUGCUAGCAUAAAGUUAAUGUUGUGUUGCCGUGUGCGUUACUGCCAAUGCUGUCUGGGUGUGUGAUGGUGGUAACCAUGGCAGUGUGGAGCAUGGAGAUGCACUUCCUGAGAGUGUCCAGGCAGCAGUGGAGCUGCUCCGCCAGACCUGAAUCUUGCAAAGUAGCAGCCCUCCCCUGGACCAGGCCACGCAGCUGCACCAGCCUCUCAGAGAAGCUCUGGAAGGAGCAGAACAGGGAGGGCAUGUCCCUGCUGGAGCACACCCCCCCCAGGCUCUCCAGGACCCCCUCUGCUGCUGACACCACCUUCCUCACGCAGGAGUCAUCCUCUACCUGGAGCACCUGCGAAGACGGGGGGUGGGAGGAGUCUGAGCACAUUUAUAAUCUAUGCACUGUUAAUGAUCAUGUCAGUUCAUGGAAUUAAAAAAAAACUUUUUAUUGUU